CAGUCGCCGCGGGAAUACGUAGGGUGCGAGCGUUAAUCGGAAUUACUGGGCGUAAAGCGUGCGCAGGCGGUUGUGUAAGACUGGUGUGAAAUCCCCGGGCUUAACCUGGGAACUGCGCUUGUGACUGCACAGCUAGAGUAUGGCAGAGGGGGGUGGAAUUCCACGUGUAGCAGUGAAAUGCGUAGAGAUGUGGAGGAACACCGAUGGCGAAGGCAGCCCCCUGGGCCAAUACUGACGCUCAUGCACGAAAGCGUGGGGAGCGAACAGGAUUAGAUACCCCCGUAGUCCCUGUCUCUUAUAC
rnacentral:rRNA from 1 species